rnacentral:rRNA from 1 species
AUUGCCCUAGUAACGGCGAGUGAAGCGGCAACAGCUCAAAUUUGAAAUCUGGCCCUCGGGUCCGAGUUGUAAUUUGUAGAGGAUGCUUUUGGCGCGGUGCCUUCCGAGUUCCCUGGAACGGGACGCCAUAGAGGGUGAGAGCCCCGUCUGGUUGGACACCAAGCCUCUGUAAAGCUCCUUCGACGAGUCGAGUAGUUUGGGAAUGCUGCUCUAAAUGGGAGGUAUAUGUCUUCUAAAGCUAAAUACCGGCCAGAGACCGAUAGCGCACAAGUAGAGUGAUCGAAAGAUGAAAAGCACUUUGAAAAGAGAGUUAAAUAGCACGUGAAAUUGUUGAAAGGGAAGCGUUUAUGACCAGACUUGGGCUUGGUUGAUCAUCCCGCGUUCUCGCGGGUGCACUCUUCCGGCUCAGGCCAGCAUCAGUUCGCUGCGGGGGAUAAAGGCGUCGGGAAUGUGGCUCCCUCGGGAGUGUUAUAGCCCUUCGUGUAAUACCCUGCGGUGGACUGAGGACCGCGCUUCGGCAAGGAUGCUGGCGUAAUGGUCAUCAACGACCCGUCUUGAAACACGGACCAAGGAGUCGUCUUCGUAUGCGAGUGUUCGGGUGUCAAACCCCUACGCGUAAUGAAAGUGAACGCAGGUGAGAGCUUCGGCGCAUCAUCGACCGAUCCUGAUGUUCUCGGAUGGAUUUGAGUAAGAGCAUACGGGGCCGGACCCGAAAGAAGGUGAACUAUGCCUGUAUAGGGUGAAGCCAGAGGAAACUCUGGUGGAGGCUCGCAGCGGUUCUGACGUGCAAAUCGAUCGUCAAAUAUGGGCAUGGGGGCGAAAGACUAAU